CACUGCGGUUGCAGGCGAGACGCGAGAGGCAGCUGAGCGGGCAGUUCCGUUCGCCGAGUCCAAUAGCGAGGACAUGAUUUUUUUUAGUUGUCGUUUUUUUUUCUUUGUUUGAAAGUGAAGGCUGCGGAGAGAUAAUGUCUAGCUUACCAGCGACAUAUGUCGAGGGUUUCCACGACCUGGAGGCUGUCAGAGCAAUGGAGUACAGGCCUCUGGGGAAGACUGGCCUGAUGGUCAGUAAAUUAUCAUUUGGGGGAGCUCCUCUUGGUUGUCAUUACGGGACGUACGAUGAAGAGGAGGCUAUUGCUACCGUGCGUGAGGCCCUCCGCAAGGGAAUUAAUUAUAUCGACACAGCCCCCUGGUAUGGUCAAGGUCGAUCCGAAAGAACCAUUGGAAAAGCCCUUGAAGGGGUCCCCAGAGAGGCCUAUUACAUCGCGACAAAAGUCGGAAGAUAUGAAUUGAAUUUCGAACACAUGUUCGAUUUCACUGCCGAGAGAACACGGAGAAGUGUUCAAGAGAGCCUGAAACUCCUUCAGCUCGAUUAUGUCGAUGUUUUACAAGUUCACGAUGUAGAAUUCGCUCCAUCCCUGGACAUCAUCAUAACUCAAACACUGCCAGAGGUUUCGCGUCAGGUCCGCCAGGGAAGAGCCAGAUUCAUCGGAAUCACGGGAUAUCCAGUUUCUGUUUUGAAAGAGUGCAUUGAUAAGAGCAACAUUAAUAUAUCUGUGAUAUUAUCGUAUGCGAGGCAUACACUCAUUGAUGAUACUCUCCUGUCGUAUAUCCCAUUUUUCCAGGACCAUAAAAUAGGAAUAAUAAAUGCAUCGGCUCCCUGCAUGGGCCUCCUGACAAACGAAGGGCCCCCAGACUGGCACCCAGCGGGUGAAGAAACGAAAAACCAAUGUCGUCAGGCAGUUCAAUACUGCAACGAUCACGAUUUAAAACUGGCGAGAUUAGCUGUUUGGUACGCAAUGCAGAACCCCGACAUUGCGACUAAUCUCAUUGGAAUGCAGAACUUGGAACAGUUGCGAAUGAAUUUGGAUGUUGUGUACAAUGGCAUCACAGACGAGGAAAAAACAUCGCUGAACGAAAUUGUGGAGAGCGCACGAUAUCGAAGACUUAUUAAAUGUCUCUUCUAAACUUCCUGUUUGAAUAUCGCCCCCUUGUGCUACGAAAGCAAUGUUCAAAGCAGAUACUUAUCGAAGGUCAAAGGUUCCCACUGGGAGCAUAAAGAGAUUGAGGCGUACAAAGCAGCUUUAGGAAUGUAAAAAAUCUAUAUUUCG